rnacentral:rRNA from 1 species
UACGUAGGGUGCGAGCGUUGUCCGGAAUUACUGGGCGUAAAGAGCUCGUAGGUGGUUUGUCGCGUUGUUCGUGAAAACCUGAGGCUUAACCUUGGGCGUGCGGGCGAUACGGGCAGACUGGAGUACUGCAGGGGAGACUGGAAUUCCUGGUGUAGCGGUGGAAUGCGCAGAUAUCAGGAAGAACACCCGUGGCGAAAGCGGCUCUCUGGAACGGUACUGACGCUGAGACGCGAAAGCGUGGGGAGCGAACAGG